UCUCCACUAAUGGCUAGGUGUCAGCCAAUCCUGGGAAACAACAAGGUGGGAGAACCGAAGUGUCACGAGUAAAUGAAAUAAAUGGAAAAAAUGUUUUGAUAACAACAACAUAUGAAACAACGAAACCUGGAAAACAACGACACUAAAUCCAUAAAAACUCAUCUCCUUCUCAAGAAAAAAAACAAUGGAGUUCUCUAACCUAAAACCAGUUUCUUCUUUCCAUGGUACCCUAACGCGUAGGGACAAAGGUACAUGAAGCUCAAGUCAAAAAGAGAAGAAACGAACCUAAAUCAGUUACGACAGGAUUGAACGGCGAUUGGAUCGGCGACGCUAACGAGUUCACUUUCGUACGUUGACUCACCGCCGAUGAGCGUUCACCUGCGUAUUCCGUCGUGAGUGAGGGCUCUAUCCAAGAAAGGUGUCGAGAUGAAGCUUUGAAAAAUCUCCCUGAGGAAUGCCGCCACUAAGUGCUUUUGACUUUCCUCUGUUUCAAUUUCUUUAGGCCCUCUUCUGAUCGUGAGAGGCUUCCAAAAAAAUUCUCUCUGUGGUCCCUCUCCUAUGUCCUUUUCCGUACCUUGGUGGUGACAUUACCUCUGAGGGUGCAGGUGAGUGUUCGUACGGACUCUUCUGGGACUUUUUCUCUUCACCCAAAAUUUGUGACCCCUCCUCUUCUCCUCAUGUUAACCUUUGUGUAACACGAUGAUGUUAACUUGGCUUCACUACGGUUAUGUCAUUUUCGGGCGUGACAAUGCAUUGUGAAUUUGUAGGUUUAGCAAUGGGAUGUUGCAGGCUUGGUUUCACGGUGCGUCGACAAGUGAAUAGACUGUUUUACAAGGUGAGUUUCUAACCAGCUUAUCGUUUUCUUCAUUGCUUAAAUCCCAAUCAUCAAGACCAGCAAACCCUUCGCUCUUUGACUUCUUUCCUGGUGAUGAAAAAUCAAAGUUUGUAGUGAUAUUGUGCUCCUUUGCUUUCUUAUCACCUUGUCCCAUUCCAAAACUUGUUAUAUCUUGGUCACCACUAGUUUUAGACUUACUUAAACUCUGAACAGCCUUUUGUGGUGAACUCAGAUAAGCAUUAUUACCUUGAGCCAACUCUGCAUUUCCUUAGAUAGGCUCAUUAAUCGCCACUGAGUUGGAGGCAGAAGCUACAGAUUUAGCAAGCAAGCAAGUAUUUGAGUUAUUUCUACCGUCUUCGUCGACAGAAAGAAAGCCAUCUGACAUAGGCAGAAGCUUCAUAUGGCCACUUCUUUAUGCCUUCAAUAGAAGAACUCUUCUGUUUCAAAGCAGCUGACACGGUCAUCUCUGCAGCACCACCUCCAGGAACAAGUUUUGGAUUUU